rnacentral:tRNA from 1 species
GCCUUCGUGGUGUAGUGGUCAGCACGCUCGACGCAUAUUCGAGAGGUCGUGGUUAGAAUCCCGGCCACGGCA